ensembl:snRNA U7 U7 small nuclear RNA
UAGUAUUACAACUCCUUUACAAUUUGUCUAGAAGGUUUUCUGGUCUUUAUCAGAAAGCCUCC